rnacentral:rRNA from 1 species
UCAAGUUAUUAAGGGUGCAGGGCGGAUGCCUUGGCACUAGGAGCCGAUGAAGGACGUGAUAAGCUGCGAUAAGCUUCGGGGAGUUGCACGUAAACUUUGAUCCGAAGAUUUCCGAAUGAGGAAACUCACUUAGAGUAAUGUCUAAGUAUCAUUAAGUGAAUACAUAGCUUAAUGAGGGGAACUCAGGGAACUGAAACAUCUAAGUACCUGAAGGAAGAGAAAGAAAUUCGAUUCCGUAAGUAGCGGCGAGCGAACGCGGAUUAGCCCAAACCAAUAAAGUUUUCUUUAUUGGGGUUGCGGACAUAUCAUAACGAAGAGGUAUCGUAAUUGAAGAGGUUUGGAAAGACCCACCACAGAAGGUAAUAGUCCUGUAUGUUAAACGAGAAGACUUUAGAUAUGAUCCAGAGUACCACGGGACACGUGAAACCCUGUGGGAAGCAGGAGGGACCACCCUCCAAGGCUAAAUACUACCUAGUGACCGAUAGCGUAUAGUACCGUGAGGGAAAGGUGAAAAGAACCCCGGGAGGGGAGUGAAAUAGAACCUGAAACCCUGCACUUACAAGCUGUGGAAGCACAUUUCUUGUGUGACCGCGUACUUUUUGUAGAACGGGCCAACGAGUUACGUUAAGUAGCAAGGUUAAGCACUUAAGGUGCGGAGCCGUAGCGAAAGCGAGUUUUAACUGAGCGUUCAGUUACUUGACGUAGACCCGAAACCGGGCGACCUACCCAUGAGCAGGAUGAAGCGAAAGUAAAAUUUCGUGGAGGUCCGAACCCACGAGCGUUGAAAAGCUCGGGGAUGACUUGUGGGUAGCGGUGAAAUUCCAAUCGAGCCCGGAGAUAGCUGGUUCUCCCCGAAAUAGCUUUAGGGCUAGCCUCAAGGUGAGAGAUACGGAGGUAGAGCACUGAAUGUCCUAGGGGGUAUUGCACCUACCGAAGACUAUCAAACUCCGAAUGCCGUCAUCUUAUACUUGGGAGUCAGACUGUGGGUGAUAAGAUUCAUAGUCGAAAGGGCAACAGCCCAGAUCGUCAGCUAAGGUCCCUAAAUGUAAGUUAAGUGGUAAAGGAUGUGGGAUUGCACAGACAACCAGGAUGUUGGCUUAGAAGCAGCCACUCAUUCAAAGAGUGCGUAAUAGCUCACUGGUCGAGUGAUCCUGCGCCGAAGAUUUCCGGGGCUAAAACUUACUACCGAAGCUACGGCAUCAGUAAUGAUGGGUAGGGGAGCUUCCCAUAUGGGUUGAAGCAUGACCGUAAGGACAUGUGGACAGUAUGGGAGGGAGAAUGUUGGCAUGAGUAGCGAGAUGUGGGUGAGAAUCCCACAGGCCGUAAACCCAAGGUUUCCAGGGGAAGGUUCGUCCGCCCUGGGUUAGUCGGGACCUAAGCUGAGGCCGAAAGGCGUAGGUGAUGGACAACAGGUUGAUAUUCCUGUACUACCGAUAACCGUUUGAGAGAAGGGAUGACACAGUAGGAUAAGCUAAGCACACUGUUGGUUAUGUGUGCCCAAGCAUUGAGGCAGUCAAAGUAGGCAAAUCCGCUUUGAUAAUGCUGGGAUGUGAUGGGGAGCGAAAUUUAGUAGCGAAGUAGCUGAUUUCACACUGUCAAGAAAAGUCUCUAUCGAGGUUAAAGGUACCCGUACCGCAAACCGACACAGGUGGGUGAGGAGAGUAUCCUAAGGCCAGCGAGAGAACUGUUGUUAAGGAACUCGGCAAAAUGACCCCGUAACUUAGGGAUAAGGGGUGCCACCAUCAGGUGGCCGCAGAGAAUAGGCCCAAGCGACUGUUUACCAAAAACAUAGGUUUCUGCUAAGUCGCAAGACGAUGUAUAGGAGCUGACGCCUGCCCGGUGCUGGAAGGUUAAGGGGAUCUGUUAGAGCAAUCGAAGCAGUGAACUUAAGCCCCAGUAAACGGCGGCCGUAACUAUAACGGUCCUAAGGUAGCGAAAUUCCUUGUCGGGUAAGUUCCGACCCGCACGAAAGGCGUAACGAUUUGGGCACUGUCUCAACAACAGACUCGGUGAAAUUGUAAUUCCGGUGAAGAUGCCGGAUACCUGCGACAGGACGGAAAGACCCCAUGGAGCUUUACUGUAGCUUGACAUUGGGUCUUGGUACUACAUGUACAGGAUAGGUGGGAGGCUUUGAAACCAGGACGCCAGUUUUGGCGGAGCCAUCCUUGGGAUACCACCCUUGUAGUACUGGGACUCUAACCAUAGGCCAUGAAUCUGGUCUUGGGACACUGUCAGGUGGGCAGUUUGACUGGGGCGGUCGCCUCCCAAAAGGUAACGGAGGCGCUCAAAGGUUCUCUCAGUACGGUCGGAAAUCGUACGUAGAGUGUAAAGGCAAAAGAGAGCUUGAUUGCAAGACAUACAGGUCGAGCAAGGAUGAAAAUCGGACUUAGUGAUCCGGUGGUUCUGCGUGGAAGGGCCAUCGCUCAACGGAUAAAAGCUACCCUGGGGAUAACAGGCUUAUCUCCCCCAAGAGUCCACAUCGACGGGGAGGUUUGGCACCUCGAUGUCGGCUCAUCACAUCCUGGGGCUGUAGUAGGUCCCAAGGGUUGGGCUGUUCGCCCAUUAAAGUGGUACGCGAGCUGGGUUCAGAACGUCGUGAGACAGUUCGGUCCCUAUCCGUCGCAGGCGUAGGAAAUUUGAGAAGACCUGUCCUUAGUACGAGAGGACCGGGAUGGACGUACCUCUGGUGUACCAGUUGU